ACCUGCGGAAGGAUCAUUACUGAGUGCGGGCUGCCUCCGGGCGCCCAACCUCCCACCCGUGACUACCUAACACUGUUGCUUCGGCGGGGAACCCCCUCGGGGGCGAGCCGCCGGGGACUACUGAACUUCAUGCCUGAGAGUGAUGCAGUCUGAGUCUGAAUAUAAAAUCAGUCAAAACUUUCAACAAUGGAUCUCUUGGUUCCGGCAUCGAUGAAGAACGCAGCGAACUGCGAUAAGUAAUGUGAAUUGCAGAAUUCAGUGAAUCAUCGAGUCUUUGAACGCACAUUGCGCCCCCUGGCAUUCCGGGGGGCAUGCCUGUCCGAGCGUAAUUGCUGCCCAUCAAGCCCGGCUUGUGUGUUGGGUCGUCGUCCCCCCCGGGGGACGGGCCCGAAAGGCAGCGGCGGCACCGUGUCCGGUCCUCGAGCGUAUGGGGCUUUGUCACCCGCUCGACUAGGGCCGGCCGGGCGCCAGCCGACGUCUCCAACCAUUUUUCUUCAGGUUGACCUCGGAUCAGGUAGGGAUACCCGCUGAACUUAAGCAUAUCA
rnacentral:misc_RNA from 1 species